GUUGAGAUCAAAAUUUAGUCUAUUACGCAAAUGGUCAAUUGCAGCCCGCGGUUUGUAAAACACGGACUCAGUCCGCGUUUUACAAAUCUUAGUUCGCGAUUUGUAAAACACGGACUCAGUCCGUGUUUUCCCGGUCCAGUCCAGUCCAGUCCAGUCCGUGUUUUACAAAUUCAGUCCGCGAUUUGUAAAACACGGACUCAGUCCGCGUUUUCUCGGUCCAGUCCAGUCCAGUUCGGUCCAGUCCAGUCCAGUCCAGUCCGUCUUUUACAACAUGCCGGAACUGACCGUUGUAAACACUGCGGAACUUACGUUUUCAUGUACCCACUCUUUUUGGCAACAAAUGAGCAACUGCGCAUGCUCGGCAAGUUCCGCGAGCAGUUAAAGCGAGUCGUCGUCAUAGAUAUCCAAUUCCAUCCAAUGGGAUGCAUGCAUCUAGUAACUUGCCUAGUAUGCGCACAAAAAAGCGGGUACACUAGUUGUAACUCUGUAUAUGUAUCUACUCUAUGGCCUAACCCCUUAAUUAAAAAAGCUCUAUGUUUGAAAAUAGAGCUGAAUGACCUGCUACAGUCUAUAUCAGAAAUUUAUUUUUCCUUGUCACUAGCAGGACUAGUUUUUCGUUGCUCAAUUAUUCAGUGGCAAAUCUGCAACAGUGCCC